GGAUCGUACGGGGUGUUUUUGAACCCUGGGUUCUCCCUUGUGCGUCGUCUCUUUAGUUAUGCUAUGCUCUCUGCAACUCUGGUCUUCUUACUACGAGCUCGCAGCUAAUGCUCUCUUCUCAACCAACUGACAUACAUCGUGUGAGGUUUCUAAUGAUCGGCCAAACAUUUCAAUGGCGUAAAUUUCUUCUCCGAAGGUACUAAAUCACGAACUCAUUCUAUCUA